UGGGAGAAGACAGAAACAGCAGACCAAAAUCUUUCAGGCCAUUUGUCAUUGGUGCCCCAGAGAAGUACAGGGGGCUGAAUGGGGUCCAGAGAGCUAGGCUGUGGGGACUUCCCAGAGGUGUUUCCAGGAGUGAGGAGGCCAGGGUUUUGGUCGAACGAUGAAUCAGAAAGGGCUUUGACCAGGAAGGAAUUAGCUAGUGUGCCAGUGGGUGAGGCCCAGACAGGUCUGAAGGGCAUGGAGCGCCAGUCUGCUGAACCAGAUAGGCCAGUCUCAGGCUCCCUUCCCCCAGGUGAGCUCGCAAAGGUGGGGCCACGGCUGUCUCCUCCCUGUGCUGCCGCCAGUACCUAGCACAGGCUCUUCUCUGAAGGAUGGAAAAAUCGAUGCCCACAGAAGAGCUGGAGCAGGGAAGGUCCAGGCAGCAGCGCCGGGAAGACCAAAGACGGGGGAGUCGAAGCCCGGGUCCCGCCACCUCCUGCUGCAGACUCAGAAAUAGAACAUGCUCGACUACUUUUUUCACUCAAAGCCCUGCUGCCGACAUCCCUCUGUGCUGUCACUUGUUCAGAGCGCGCUUGUAUCCGAUGGCUGCACCAUGAGUCAUCUUGCUGGAUGGUAGAGACACUGCACGUGGCUUGGGGUCAAAAUCUCAGCCCCCUUGGCUGUGUGACCUCAGGCAGGUGACCUACACCCUCUGACCUCCUCUGUGUGGUGGGGCUACUGAUUGAUGCCUGCCUCACAGCCUGGUAAGAAAGUACAGCCUGGUGAGACUUUCAUGAGAAAAGAGGCAGAAAGCAUGCACCCCAAGCAGAGCACGUGGAAAGCAUUUCAUCAGCGACCCUCUAGGUUCAGCUGCUGGGGAGCCUCCACUUGAAGACUUUUCUAAAAGCCAUCGUGGCAGCUGCAGUGUCCCCAGGCUGCGCGCAUCGGGGCUCCCAGUUGCCAGCUGUAUGAACUCAGAUAUGAACUCAGACAGGAGCCUCCUGAGAGGCAACUUGUUCCGCAGCCGGAUCUGGCUCCACUGGAAGACCCGCUUGCUGUGAAGAGCACAGUCUGCCCGGUUGUCCUCCUGGCCUCUCCCUGCUCCCCGUUCUCUCCCACAGAUGCCAUCAGCCAGGGAGUGUGAACUGGACACCUAUAGCGUGCCAGGCACAGACGUGAGCCAUUCUGCCAACCCCUGAAGGCCUUGGGGAAACCCCAGACCAGGGUAGUGUGCUGUCCAACGCAUCAGCAAGAGCAGACGUAUUGGAGACCCUGGGCCCCAGGGAUGUGGCUCGAAUCCCAGCCACUCCCCUAACUAGCUGGGGAUCUUGGGCAUCUUGCCUCUCCCAGCCUCACCUUUCCCAUCUGUAAAAUAGACCAAGAACACUUUCACCAAGGACGGCUCAAGCAUGGAGUGUCCUAGGCCACAUUGGGCAUCUGGGCCGGCCUUUCCCAUGAUAUUUCAGCCCUUUCUUCCCAUCAGUUCCUAGAUGGGUCUAGGUUCUGAACACAUCGGAAGAAUCCUGGGACUCUGGGGCUUUGGAGUAUAAAGUCUAGAACCUUUGGGGAGAGCCACAGGGUUCUGGAGAAAUCCUUGCCACAGAGGAUGGGUCAGCAAGAGCGGGCCAGGGCUACGGGCCCACAGACAUGCCAGUCCAUGUGGGAGAGCGCUGGGACAAAGGAGGAGGAGCUUGUGUAUUUGUUGCAGAGGGCUGUGUGUAUGUUGGGGGUGCACAUGCUCGGUGUGGGGGACUAGGGGCAGAGUGGGGUGACCCUGUAGUUGUCCCCAGCCCUGGGAGAGCUCCACAGUCCAGGCCUGUCCCCACUCCUGGAGCAACCCCAGGACCCUCAUUUGGGAGGACUGUUGCAGCCAGCAGAUUAGAGCUGUGAGCUUCAAACAGAGCCGGCCUGGCAGUGGGGCUUAAAUUAUAAACACUGAAAUUAUAAAUAGCCACCUUCCUGGUGACUUCCCAGUCCUUGGGGGUGGGAGGGAAUGUUGCACCAGCCCUUUAACCAUCUUCCCAUCCAGCAACCUGCCAGCUUCAGAGAGGGAGGGGUCAGGCGAGAUGGAGCUGGUGCCUGUCAGAAGGGCUGGGCUCAAACAAGACUUCCCAUAUUAAAUGACGCGCUUGGUCUUAAGUUGCAAGGAGCAGAAGUGUGUGCCAAGAGACCCUUCCAGCUGGUGACCCUGAGGACACAGCCUGAGGAUUUCUCCAUGAUUAACAAACAUGCUUCCCUCUCCCCAGAUCUCUUGAGCUUAUAUGUCAGGCUCAAAAAUGGCUUAAGGGGAGGGGUUGGCAUCCAACUCCCAACCAUGCCAUCCAUCUGGCCUCCCUGGGACUCAGUUUCCCUACACUUGGAGUAGAGGGGAGGGGCAAUACAGUGCAAAGCCAGGACCCAUUCUGGGUCAGGCACUGAGCUGGGUGCUAUCAAGGGCAGGGCUCACAACUGCGAGUUCAGAUCCCAGCUCACAGAAAGUAUGCCCAAAAUGAAUUUUGGUUAGCUUGUUAAAUGGCUGGUGACCCCCACCCCCAGGUCCCUUCCGUGCCCACCAGGCACUUUCCCUCUCUGAGCCUCUCUUUUCCAUUCGUGAAUUAAAAGGAUGGACAAGGGUGACAGUGACUGGCCUGGAAGGUCAGCGCUGCAGGCAGGUGCUGCUGCAGCCCCAUUGCACUGGGAGACCCGAAACUGGCGAGGUGUGCAGGGACUUUCUUGCUCUGGUCUACCCUGCCAAGAAGGGGCCAAGAAGGGAUGAGAACUCAGCGGUCAUACACCACAACCUGAGCUAAUAGCCUUCCCUGCUCUGUGGACCUGACUGCCCCAUCUAUUAACUGAUUAGCGCACCCCCGGCGCUCCCAGUCUAGCCCUUCGCUAGGUCCGCGUGCCUCGGAAAUCCCACCCUAGGCGCUACCCAACCCGCAGCGGGGCAGAGGGCGGGUCCGGGGCGGGGCUCCGGCCUCUCCCCGCCCCCACCCCACCCCCGCCGCCCUGUAAAUCCGCAGCCCUCGCGGUUCCGCCAAUCGGCCGCCGGUUGCCGGGGAAACGACCCCUCGGAGCCUUCAAGGCCUCCACUCCCUACUUGUCCUCCUGCCCUGGGACUGGCGGGCGGGAGCCGAGGUCCCGGGAUAGGAGAGACCGGGGCCAGAGCCUGGGGCGAGACACCCCAGACCGAGUGACAGCGAGAGGGAGAACAGACACGCGCACAGGCCGGGGAGACGCGGGCUGCAGAGAGGACGGGGGUGCAAGAGGGGCCCGGAGAUGCGACAGCCCGCGCCCGCCUCCGCCCCAGUAUCAGGCCGAGACGCUGAGGGCCGAGCUGCCCAGAGGCUGCGGGGAGCGGGGGAGAGACGGGGCGGCGCAGAG